CAGUCGCCGCGGUAAUACGAAGGGUGCAAGCGUUAAUCGGAAUUACUGGGCGUAAAGCGUGCGUAGGCGGUGAGUUAAGUCUGCUGUGAAAUCCCCGGGCUCAACCUGGGAAUGGCAGUGGAUACUGGCUCGCUAGAGUGUGUCAGAGGAUGGUGGAAUUCCCGGUGUAGCGGUGAAAUGCGUAGAGAUCGGGAGGAACAUCAGUGGCGAAGGCGGCCAUCUGGGACAACACUGACGCUGAGGCACGAAAGUGUGGGGAGCAAACAGGAUUAGAUACCCCGGUAGUCCCUGUCUCUAUACA
rnacentral:rRNA from 1 species